AGAUUUCAUGGCCUCUAGAGAAUAACUAAGGGUGGGCGGAGUUAGAUGUUUUGCCCCAGUUCUGUUCACAGGAGGCCCAGGCCUGCCCAGCAGAUUCUUUAAACUUCUGAUGGAAUCCAUCAAAAAGAAGAAUAAUAAAGCAUCAACCUUCAGGAACGUAAACACUCGAAGAGCUACGCAGCGGGAUCUGGACAACACUGGGGAGUUGGGGAGGAGUCGGGGAGAGCAGGAGGGUGAUGAGGAAGAGGAGGGGCACAUUGUGGAUGCUGAAGCUGAGGAGGGGGACGCCGAUGCCUCUGAUGCCAAACGCAAGGAGAAGCAGGAGGAGGAGGUUGAUUAUGAGAGCGAGGAAGAGGAGGAGAGGGAGGGCGAGGAGAACGACGAUGAAGACAUGGAGGAGGAACGAAAUCCCCACAGGGAAGGUGCUCGAAAGACCCAAGAGCAAGACGAAGAGGUGGGCUUAGGCACUGAGGAGGACCCGUCCCUUCCCGCCCUCCUGACGCAGCCCCGGAAACCCACCCACAGCCAGGAGCCCCAGGGGCCCGA
rnacentral:sRNA from 1 species